GAUGAACGCUGGCGGCGUGCCUAAUACAUGCAAGUAGAACGCUGAAGGAGGAGCUUGCUCUUCUGGAUGAGUUGCGAACGGGUGAGUAACGCGUAGGUAACCUGCCUGGUAGCGGGGGAUAACUAUUGGAAACGAUAGCUAAUACCGCAUGACAACAGUUAUUGCAUGAUAACUGUUUAAAAGUGGCAACUGCUCCACUACCAGAUGGACCUGCGUUGUAUUAGCUAGUGGGUGUGGUAACGGCUCACCAAGGCGAGGAUACAUAGUCGACCUGAGAGGGGGAUCGGCCACGCUGGGACGGGGGCCCGGCCCAGACGCCUACGGGAGGCAGCAGUAGGGAAUCUUCGGGAAUGGACGGAAGUCUGACCGAGCAACGCCGCGUGAGUGAAGAAGGUUUUCGGAUCGUAAAGCUCUGUUGUAAGGGAAGAACGAGUGUGAGAGUGGAAAGUUCACACUGUGACGGUAUCUGACCAGAAAGGGACGGCUAACUACGUG
rnacentral:rRNA from 1 species